rnacentral:lncRNA from 1 species
AGAACCAAGCAGUGCCAAAGUUAGGAACCUGACAGUCUUGCCCAGGAGGCUGGCUCUGGAAUGAAUAAGCUCAAAUCAUUAUCUGUUUGUCUAUAUCACUCUAUUCAAGAUUUGAAGAGCUAGGAGAAAGGUCCUCUUGGCUAAGCCCAGGUCUUGUGACUGGCUCCUGGCUGUUCCAGGCACUAAAAGGAAGGAUCUGGCUGACAAGACCCUUCAGCAUUUGUUACUGAAGGUUUCCACCUGCAUUUUCUUUCCACCCAAACUACCCACGGCGGAGGACAAGCAAUGCGCCCAAAUGGAAUCACGGUGCUGUCAGGAGGGACUGUGAGCGCUUGGAGACCACAGAGUGCCAAAGGUUUAUUCUAACUUUUCUUCAUUUGAUAGUGGUUCACUAAUUAGCACUCUCUGGCAAUGGCCAUUCAGCCAGAAAGAGAUCUACUCAAUUGUCCAGGAACAUAGAUCCAUCUGCCCCACCAAGAUGUGUUAACAAACUGACAAAUAGCCUUGCUGAAAUGCAGGAUUGGUGGUGCAAACUAGGGAAAAGAAAUCUGGAGGAUGAGUUGAGUUGCUCUGAAAAAGAUCAGAAAGGGAAAUGGAAGACCUCCUGCCAUCUGAAGAAAUCUGAGAGGGAGAGGUAAGGAGCAGGGCUGGGAGAGAGGGAGAAAGGGCCAGAAGUUGGCAGAGACAUCAUCCGUGCAAUGAGACCCUUCACAAUGGCCCCUCGGGAAACUCUCCCCAAGGAGCAGUUUCAUCUUAGAGUGGACAUGUUACAGGCCAGGGGUAGAUUGAUGGAAGUUGAACCCAAGUGGCAGAGAAAGCCAAAAGGACACAAGUGUCCAUCCUACUUGUAUCCACACCCUAGGAAGUAGUAGAAAUCUGGGAUUUAAAGCUCUAGGACCACGGAAUUUGGGGGCUGAAGGCAAAUUCGUCUAGAGCUCGAGGAGCAAGCAAGCCUCCAGCUGACUUCUGGAAUAUACAUAUUUGCAUUCAUAGCUGAGAAACAAUAGAAUAUUGAAAUCUCUAGUCCUUGGGUGAUUUUUCUCAAGCAGAAAAAGAAAAAGAAAAGGCUCUUUGUUUCAUUAUUCCAACCUUGAUCUUUCAUUCAUUCUCUAAGGGCAUAAAUGACUAUUUAUAUAUGUUUCCAUGAGUUAAAUCAUUCUUGAGGAUUUUUUGUUUGUAGUUGUUGUGUUGUUUCCUGCUAUGGAUUUUAACACAGAAGCCUUUCCUUUUGAGCCAAAAGUAUCAACAACUAGCACCCUACAACUGCCAGUGCCAGAUUCCUUUGUUCGUGGGUCCUUUUGCCAUAUAUUUUCUGGGGAACACAAUUAACUACAAAUGUGAAUAGUGUGUGUCUGCUGUGUAGGGAAACCUGAGGUGAGAGCGGCUGCCACCCACCAUUCCCCAGAAUGUGCCCAACACAGCCCUUGCAGAACUUGGAGCCCCAGGAGGAUCUAUUCUAGAUCACGUGGCCCUGCCAUUCCAGCCACAGCCAGGAGUGCAAAUCUAAGGCAAGAGCAGCCAAACCAUCGCCUCUGGGGUGGCCAUAGGUGAAAAGACAAGUCAGGCCAGUCAGAUUCUCUUUCUUGGGUAUUUGAAAGAGGAAAUGGGUGAAAGAAUGCUGAAAGUCUCUGUCAAGGAAGGCCAUGAGAUAGCUUUAGACGCCAUGAGGAAUCAUGAGCAAGCCAGAAUAGGAGAAAGCAAAAGGAGAGUGAAGCAGACAUAGGAAAGUUGAUUGCUUCAUAUUAACCCCACCUGUUCCUGCCGCAGGUAUGAGCAAAUACAAGCCAUUCCCUUUGCUUGCCUUCUUACAUUCUCUCGUCUUCCUCUUCCCAUCUCUUCCCUUCUUUGACUAACUCCACCAAGGCAGAAUGGUCAGAGUUUUGCCAUUAGAGCUGAUUAAAAUGCAUCUUUCCAAUUCCCUUGUUUUUCCCUAUCCAGAAUGAGAUUUACAAAAGAUUCAUUGACCAUCUUGUCACGUGUAGGCAUGAUGACACCAAGGCCUUCCUUUGUUGCCACAAAAUGUCCAGAGAGAAAUAAUAUCUGAGAACCUAAGGCUUCCCUUCAUAGCAUUCUUCUCUCUUAUGGAACCUAAUUGUAGCACUAGAAAAAGAGAGAUGGGCUCUUGCAAACCUCACAGCAUGCUGACUCUAACACAUCACUAGCUAAAUAAGAAACAAGGUCAGCAUGGUGUGGGAGAAAUGGCAGUGUUAUCUUAGCUGUCCAUUCAGACUGUCGAUUCGAUGGGUGGGUUUGUAAGGAAGGGAAAGAGAAAUGUAUAUGGAAGUAAUAUCACUACAGGCCACAAUAUAUAGGGAUGCAGGGGAAAAAAUAGUUGAGCAUAUUUUCAGGAUGUGGUAAGCGGAUAUGGCUCAACCAGAGGAAUUUAUAGCUGCAACUGGCAUCCCUAACACCAUAAAACUGUGCACGGAAGCCACUUUUAGGAUUGAGGAUCAAACUGCUAGAUUCAAAACAUAGACAAUAGAACAAACACCGCUGCUUAACACGGAGCAGGAGAUGAAACUAAUUUGCUACUCUUCACUGGAUUCCACCCCAUACCUCUAACACAGCAAUCCUGUGUAGUUAAUUUAUUAAAGCAUCUGCAGUUGCCAUAGAUAAGGGAAAAAGCUAUCAGGGCUGGAAGAAAUGGUAGACAGCAGAUCCUUAGCCAGCAGUCAAACAAGAGUAAAAUGUCACAAGCCAAAGAAGGUACCAGAGGAAAUAACCUGAGUUAGAGAAGAAGAAUUCCUCAGGGAAGCAGGUCUCCUUACCCCAGAGCAGUAAAAAGAAUCUACAUAAAGGAAUUCAUUUUUUUUUUAAUUAUUUUAAAAUAGGCUAUCAUUUCAAUUAAGAAACUGAAUGAAUUUCCUGGAAUUAACCUGUAUUCCAGCUUUGAAAUCAGCCAUGAAUACACAGACCAAAAGGCACGCACAAGCAUGCUCCCUUGCUCAGCCUCUCUCUCAAACAAAAGAUCUCCCUCCGGCGACCCUUAAAAGGAGUUUGAAAGCUGUAAAGUCACAAGAAUGAGAUUUUAAAGCUGGCAGCAUGUAAGCUGGCUAAAGACGAUAUUCCCAACUCUCUCUCAAAGAAAACCCAAAAGAAGCACUGGGUGUGGGAGACACAUCUGCUGAGAUGCUCAGAGACCCACAUGUGUGGCACUUUAACGAAGAAAUAAGGAACUGGACUUCCCACUUACAGUCUCGCACCACCAGCCCUUCCUUACAUUUUCCGCUUGUUCCCCAACUCACAAAGAAGCAUGAUAGCCAGAGACAGACAGGAUGAGAGUGUAGAAGGUAGAUGACAAAAGCGCUUGAUCUCGAGAGUCAUUGGGAGCUUUUGAUCCCAAAUAAUGAGUGAAUAUUGUUUGAAGCCCUAGCCAAAAAAAACACUUAAUAAUAGUAAUUUUAAACAUUCCUUUCCUUUCUCUUGAAGUCUUCUUCCCCAAUCUGGCAAAUUGCAAAGCACUAAAGGAGUAUUUUCAUCAAUGUGUCUAAAUAUGUUAUUCAGAGUAGGAUUUUAUGUGAGAUAGCCCUGGGGAACUUUCUGGAAGAAAAAGGCAGUCCCAAAAUUGGAUGAACAAACUGCUUUAAGGCUUUAAGGUUUUAAGAUUUUGCAAACCAUAUCGUGCCUUCACUACACCCCAAGCCAGAAAUGAAAAAGAAAAUAAUUCCAUUUUCCAGGCACUGCAAAGGGACUCGCUUACUAUUUCUGUGGGUUCACAAGAAUGCAGCAACCAGGAGAGGCAAUGUCCCCAACACAAAGGAACCCAGACCCCUGAGCUUCUAGCUGGCAAGUUACCCAGCAGAGAAAAUAGGAUGCUAUUGAAUUUGCAGGCAUCUCAGUCAGUGACGGAGGUGGAGGGAUGUUGCAAAAGGAUAAUGGGAGGAAGAGGGAUUGGGAAAGCAGGGAUGAGGGACAGGUGGAUCUGGAAGUGGAAAACCAUUUUUCAAGCCUAGAAGAACAACUUAAAAAAUAUUACUGGGGAAUUAAUGCAUAAAAAGUGUCCUUAGCAGGGGGAGGUGUGAAGGGGGGGUACAUACAUCAUAAAAAGAUACACUCUGUGGCCAAGACUCCCUGACCAUUAACACCACAGAUAAUCAAAGAGAAAAAAUCUAAUUUAGUAGAAGGAUGGUAAUCUCCAAAUGAUAAGCCACUUCACCUGGUGUCCACACUCUAGUCCCAGGCCCACAUUUAAACAGGAGCAAAAAUUUAAACACAUGCACCCACACACACAUAUGCGCAUACACAAACACACAUAUACACCCAGAGACAGAGCAGCCCAAGGCCUGAGUGUAGGAGGCCAUGGGAAAACUCAUUCACGAGGACUUUUUAAUUGCUUUGUGUUUGUUUUCUGUCUUCUCCCCCCUUUCUUCCGAUGGUGAUUAUGGUUGUAUUUUGAAAUCAUGAUGCGCCACUGCAGCACUGUAAUUACAUAAAUACGGCAUUAUAAAUGAAGGUUAGUGCCAGAAAUAGCAACGCAGACAGGGGAGCAAUUUGUCUUUGUGGAUGCAAGGGUGUGUGCACAUGUUUAUAAAUACCUCCCACUUACAUGGUAUUUGAAAAUUGUUUGCUAGUCCAAGCAAGGAGGGCUUAGGAAACAAAAUAAGAGCCUCACCUUAUUUUCAGCAGAAGAAGAUGAAGGCAAGAAAAGGCAGGUUCUUCUAGUCAUGAUCAAUGGAAAUAAUGAGGCACUGACUCCCCAGCCAUGUGAUGGAGCCACCUUGGAAAUGGAUCCUGCAGCCCAGUCAAGCCUUUGGACGAAUGCAGCUCCAACUGACAUCUUGACCAUAACCUUAUGAGAGAUCCUGAGCCAGACCCACCAGAUAAGCCACUCUCAAAUUCCUAAACUACAGGAAACAUAAGUAUAAUAAAUAUUUAUUGUUGCUUUAAGCCAUUAAGUUUUGGAGUAAUUUGUUACACAGUAGUAGCUAACUAAUGGAGUCCUAGUGGUAUUGACCUGCAGCCCCCCAUAGCUGUACACUUCUCAUCAACCCCUUCCCUGUGCUGCCUUAGAUCACCUCCAAAGAAAACCACCUGCGUUCAAAAUCUUAUCUCAGGGUUUGCUUUUGGAAUCGAAGAAAUCCCAGAGAAGGUAAAUAUUAUUAUUAUCCUCAUUUUAGGGAUGAGAAAAAACACACGUAGGUUAGAGUUACACAGCAAAUAGUGGCAGAACAGAGGUUUUCUGAGUCCUCAUCCACUGCUUCCUGUUUCAUCACAGCGGCUUCUCCCUCCCACCCCAAUCCUUUCCAAUUUCAAGCAAUCUCUCUUCUCUCCCCAAGAACACUGUUAAUUUGCUCAUUCGCUGUGGACCGAGACACUCAUCAUAACCACAAAAUUUAAAAACCAAUCUAAGCAAAUUCAGUAACAAAAGCAGGAACUUUGAGUCACUCAAGUCUCAGUGCAUUUAUUUUUCCUAAUGAUACCUACACACAGCAGGGAGAAAUAAUUAGCAAAUUAAUGGGUUAUUCCUCUGUUGACAUUCAUGCAAAGGCUAGAUGUGACUCCCUUGUUCUAUGUCUUACAGGCUCUGGCCUGAAACUGCUGACCAACAUCACUGGUAAUUUAUUGAAGUUAUGAACAAAUGCCCGUGCUGCGUGGGCAAGAAAUAAAGAUGAAGCCUAAAUUUGCUAUGCUUUCUGUUCUGAUCAAAUAAAAUGUACAGCCAACUUCAUCUGUCAGAUAUUUAAUCAUAAUCAUUAUUGUGCUAUGUGGUAAUUAGGCAUAAAUGGAACAUAAAUGACUCUUGAUAGCACCAUUUUAUAUAUCAAACUGUAAUUUUUGUGUUUUUCUUCUCCCUUUGACAGUUUUCCAGUACCCAUCUCUACUCAGUGUCACUGUGGUUGGUUUCCCCUGAGUCAGAGUGGUCGAAGAGAAACAUAUGGGCUUUGGAACCCGACAAAUCACUCAGGCUGUAUUACCUUGAUCAAGUCACUUUACAUCUCUGGGCCUCUUGUAUAAAAUGGAGAUGAGGCCUCUCCAGUAGGAUUGCUAUGAGAAUCAAAUGAGAAGCUGAAAAGCAAUGACGGGCAAAGUGUUCAUAUGCAGUAGGUGCUCAAUAAAUGUCUCCUUCCUGUU